rnacentral:rRNA from 1 species
GACGAACGCUGGCGGCGUGCUUAACACAUGCAAGUCGAACGGUGAAGCGCCUUCCUUUUUGGUGGGUGUGGAUGAGUGGCGAACGGGUGAGUAACACGUUAGUAACCUGCCCCCUUCUUCUGGAUAACCGCAUGAAAGUGUGGCUAAUACGGGUUAUUCUGGGUCUGUCGCAUGAUGGGUCUGGGAAAGAUCUUGUUUCGGUGGGGGAUGGGCUCGCGGCCUAUCAGCUUGUUGGUGGGGUGAUGGCCUACCAAGGCGGUGCCGGGUAGCCGGCCUGGGAGGGUGGACGGUCACACUGGGACUGAGACACGGAGCAGACUCCUGCGGGAGGCAGCAGUGGGGAAUAGUGCACAGUGGGCGCAAGCCUGAUGCAGCGACGCCGCGUGAGAGAUGGAGGCCUUCGGGUUGUGAACCUCUUGCGCCAGUGAAGCAGGCCUGCCUAGUUUGUGGGUGGGUUGACGGUAGCUGGAGAAGAAGCGCCGGCUAACUACGUG